ensembl:lncRNA
UUGUAACACAAGGAGGAGGAGGGCAGGCUGUCAUUCUUAUCAAGCUGGGGCUCAGCUUUUGUCCCCAGUCUGGGCCCAGCUCUCUUUGAUCCUGGCAAGGCCAUUGUUUCCCCAGUGCUGGCCUCUCUGCCUUGCAGGGGAAAAUGUGGUCUUUGUUCUUCUGAGACUUUUUUAUCCAAGUUCUGCCCUGGUGGGGACAAGCCGGGAGGGGCUCCGUGUGAGGAUCCAGUCCCCGCAGCUGAGGGACAAGGGCCGCCCCUGUCUCCUGGCCUCCGCCUUGCGUGGGUUGCUCAGAACCUUCUGGCUUGCACAAGUCAUGCUGUGUUGGGGGUGGAGAGGGAACACUGGGCAGUUUCAGCUUCUUUAUUUUUAAAAAUUGCCUUUGUUAACGUUUCCAGCGUGACCUUAAUAUAAAUCAAAUGCAGCAAACACUUGGCGAAAACCUGCAUUUGAAUCUUAGUGCAGCUAUUUACUGGCUGGGUCAACGUGGGUUAGACAUUUCACCAAUUGGGGUCUCAGUUGCCUUCUCUACACAAUCAGGAAAAUGAAAAUAUUUAUGCUACAGUAUUAUCGGGAGGUUUUAUUCAUCCAUUGAAUAUCUGUUAAGCAUCAACUCUUCGUCAAGCACUGUGGUCUGUGCUGUAGAAGCAGUGCAGAAUGAGAUAGACUUGAUCAAAUGCCUCCUGAAGCUUACCAGAGAAGGACAUUCAACUGACAUAUUUGUGAGUCCUGCAAGAAGAAGUGCAGAUUGUCAGGGCAGCGUGUACUAGCGCUUCACUGAGUCUUGGUGGUCAAGAGAGAAUUUUGCAAAAAUUCAACAUGCAUCAAAGGAAGCUGGGACUUGGGAGCUAAUUGAACACAUUGGUCCCUCCCACCCCCAAACCCCUGCGCAGGAUCAGAUCCUUUACCAACACCUGCUGGGUUUGAGCAGGUUUAAGAAACUCCUGGCCCCUCUAGGGAACAUACUCAGCUGAAAAGGAGUAGAGGCUGGGAACUGCUCCAGGGGCCUGGAAAUUGAUGAAGAUGCAUACAAGAUGAGACAGCUGAGACUCAGAGAAGUGAGGGUAACUUGCCUGAAGCCACACAGCUAGGUUGAACAUACAACAUCCUCAACAAUGCAGAAGGCUAUCAAUUUCACUGCACCCUUGCUAGCACUGGGCAUUAUUGUUAUUACUGGUAAAGUUAUUAGAAGAAAUAAGGACAAUUAUGAAAUCUUCAGUGAGGAUCUGUCUCCAAUCUCCUUGCAAUCCAGUUUUCAUUAAGGAACUAGAGUCAUCUAUUUGGAAAAAAAUAAAAGAGAAAAGAAAAUAUACCAACCAAACUAGGUCAUGCUAUCCUCAGGCUCAGGAGCCUUCAAAAGUCUCCCCUGCUUAACAUCAAGACAAACACCCACCACGGCCUGCAGGACCCAGGCAGUGUGGCCUGUCUACCCUUCCAGUCUCUUUUGGCCAAAUUAUGUCAUGUCCCUUCACUCAUUAAUUCCAUCCAUUUUGGGUUUCUUGAAUUUUCUAUGUUCCCUCCUGCCUUGGGGGUUUUGCCUAAUCUUUUCUUUCUGCUUGGGGUCCUUUCCUUACUCCCUUUCUUUUCUUUCUUCUUGGAUGAAAUUUGCCUCCUUGGAGAGCCUUUCCCUAUUCAUUUCACCUGAAGUUAAAGCUCUCAGUCUUUUUCUGGCUCAGCUAAUUGUCCGUUACAAUGUGCAGAUGCUUUCUUUCAUUUGUUUAUUUGUGUUUUCCCCACCACUCCUAUUAAACUGUGAACUGUAAACUCCAGGGAAGCAGAAACCAUUUCCGUGUUGUUUAUGGUUGUCUUCAUCUCCAGGGCUUGCUUCAGUGCCGAGCUGGUACUCCAUCAUCGUUUGCCAAAUGAUUAAUCUGGUUCUGCUCAGCUUCCUAGCGAGAUCCUUCACCCCAGCCCACUUCUCCUGCCAUAUCAGAGUACCACCCCCUAAGGGCAGUAUUCUUCGAGCCUCUGCUCCUGUGAUUGCCCUGUGCCUUCUGCCUGAAAUACACUUCUUCCCUAUUUUCCUCCUGAAAAAUGAACUCAGCCUUCAAGACUCAGCUCAAAUAUCAUCUCUGCUUUGAUGCCUGUCCCCAUGCCUCCUGGCAAAAUGAAAAGCAUAUGCUCCAUGGUUUGUGCACAUCUGAAUCACAGCCUUUGUCACUCAGCAUUGUCCUCACGCUUUUCUGUAUCUAUUUUCCCCACAAGACGGACCUCUUGGGAGCAAAGAAGAGAUCUAAUUCAUCUUACAUUUCCACUUCUUAAAAGUGCUUAUCACAUAGGAAGGUUGGAUAAAGGCUUUUGGAGGGGAUGCAUACAUUAAUAAAUAAAAGCAUGUCCUUGGUGAAAUUUCUC